GCCCCCGUAGCUCAAUGGAUAGAGCAACGGCCUUCUAAUCCGUCGGUUGCGCGUUCGAGUCGCGCCGGGGGCACCG
rnacentral:tRNA from 2 species